rnacentral:rRNA from 1 species
GACGAACGCUGGCGGCGUGCUUAACACAUGCAAGUCGAACGAUGAAGCUGGAGCUUGCUCCGGUGGAUUAGUGGCGAACGGGUGAGUAACACGUGAGUAAUCUGCCCUUGACUCUGGGAUAACUGCGGGAAACUGUAGCUAAUACCGGAUACGACACCUUCGGGCAUCCGAUGGGUGUGGAAAGAAUUUCGGUCAAGGAUGAACUCGCGGCCUAUCAGCUAGUUGGUGAGGUAAUGGCUCACCAAGGCGACGACGGGUAGCCGGCCUGAGAGGGUGACCGGCCACACUGGGACUGAGACACGUCCCAGACUCCUACGGGAGGCAGCAGUGGGGAAUAUUGCUCAAUGGGCGAAAGCCUGAUGCAGCAGCGCCGCGUGAGGGAUGAAGGCCUUCGGGUUGUAAACCUCUUUUAGUUGGGAAGAAGCGAAAGUGACGGUACCAACAGAACAAGCACCGGCUAACUACGUGCCAGCCGCCGCCGUAA